rnacentral:rRNA from 1 species
UACGGGAGGCAGCAGUGGGGAAUAUUGCACAAUGGGCGAAAGCCUGAUGCAGCUAUGCCGCGUGUAUGAAGAAGGCCUUAGGGUUGUAAAGUACUUUCAUCGGGGAGGAAAAAACAAACUAAUAAUUUUAUUUCUUGACGUUACCCGAAAAAGAAGCACCGGCUAACUCCGUGCCAGCAGCCGCGGUAAUACGGAGGGUGCUAGCGUUAAUCAGAAUUACUGGGCGUAAAGAGCACGUAGGUGGUUUUUUUAAAGUCAGAUGUGAAAUCCCUGGGCUUAACCUAGGAACUGCAUUUUGAAACUGAAAUACUAGAGUAUCGUAGAGGGAGGUAGAAUUCUAGGUGUAGCGGUGAAAUGCGUAGAUAUCUGGAGGAAUACCUGUGGCGAAAGCGGCCGUCCUAACGAAUACUGACACUGAGGUGCGAAAGCGUGGGGAGGCAAACAGGGAUUAGAUACCCGU